ACGCACGCUGGCGGCGUGCUUAACCCCUGCAGGUCGAACGGAAAGGCCCUGCUUUUGUGGGGUGCUCGAGUGGCGAACGGGUGAGUAACACGUGAGUAACCUGCCCUUGACUUUGGGAUAACUUCAGGAAACUGGGGCUAAUACCGGAUAGGAGCUCCUGCUGCAUGGUGGGGGUUGGAAUGUUUCGGCGGUUGGGGAUGGACUCGCGGCUUAUCAGCUUGUUGGUGGGGUAGUGGCUUACCACGGCUUUGCCGGGUAGCCGGCCUGAGAGGGUGACCGGCCACAUGGGGACUGAGAUACGGCCCAGAGUCCUACGGGAGGCAGCAGUGGGGAAUAUUGCACAAUGGGCGGAAGCCUGAUGCAGCAGCGCCGCGUGCGGGAUGACGGCCUUCGGGUUGUAAACCGCUUUCGCCUGUGACGAAGCGUGAGUGACGGUAAUGGGUAAAGAAGCACCGGCUAACUACGUG
rnacentral:rRNA from 1 species